UUGCUCGACCUCACGGAGGGAUUCUCCCUU
rnacentral:sRNA from 1 species